UAGGGAAUCUUCGGCAAUGGGGGGAACCCUGACCGAGCAACGCCGCGUGAGUGAAGAAGGUUUUCGGAUCGUAAAGCUCUGUUGUUAAGGAAGAACGAGUGUGAGAAUGGAAAGUUCAUGCUGUGACGGUACUUAACCAGAAAGGGACGGCUAACUACGUGCCAGCAGCCGCGGUAAUACGUAGGUCCUGAGCGUUGUUCGGAUUUAUUGGGCGUAAAGCGAGCGCAGGCGGUUAGAAAAGUCUGAAGUGAAAGGCAGUGGCUCAACCAUUGUAAGCUUUGGAAACUGUUUAACUUGAGUGCAGAAGGGGAGAGUGGAAUUCCAUGUGUAGCGGUGAAAUGCGUAGAUAUAUGGGGAAACACCGGUGGCGAAAGCGGCUCUCUGGUCUGUAACUGACGCUGAGGAUCGAAAGCGUGGGGGGCGAACAGG
rnacentral:rRNA from 1 species